rnacentral:rRNA from 1 species
UACGAAGGGGGCUAGCGUUGCUCGGAAUCACUGGGCGUAAAGGGUGCGUAGGCGGGUCUUUAAGUCAGGGGUGAAAUCCUGGAACUCAACUCCAGAACUGCCUUUGAUACUGAGGAUCUUGAGUUAUGGGAGAGGUGGGUGGAACUGCGAGUGUAGAGGUGAAAUUCGUAGAUAUUCGCAAGAACACCAGUGGCGAAAGCGGCUUCCUGGUCCAGCACCGACGUUCAGGCACGAAAGCGUGGGGAGCAAACAGG